CCUACGGGGGGCAGCAGUGGGGAAUAUUGGACAAUGGGGGGAACCCUGAUCCAGCCAUGCCGCGUGUGUGAAGAAGGCCCUCGGGUUGUAAGGCACUUUCAGUGAGGAAGAACGCCUGGUGGUUAAUACCCAUCAGGAAAGACAUCACUCACAGAAGAAGCACCGGCUAACUCCGUGCCAGCAGCCGCGGUAAUACGGAGGGUGCGAGCGUUAAUCGGAAUUACUGGGCGUAAAGCGCGCGUAGGUGGCUUGAUAAGCCGGUUGUGAAAGCCCCGGGCUCAACCUGGGAACGGCAUCCGGAACUGUCAAGCUAGAGUGCAGGAGAGGAAGGUAGAAUUCCCGGUGUAGCGGUGAAAUGCGUAGAGAUCGGGAGGAAUACCAGUGGCGAAGGCGGCCUUCUGGACUGACACUGACACUGAGGUGCGAAAGCGUGGGUAGCAAACAGGAUUAGAUACCCCAGUAGUC
rnacentral:rRNA from 1 species